AGUCGUAACAAGGUUUCCGUAGGUGAACCUGCGGAAGGAUCAUUACCGAGUGCGGGCCCUCUGGGUCCAACCUCCCAUCCGUGUCUAUCUGUACCCUGUUGCUUCGGCGUGGCCACGGCCCGCCGAAGACUAACAUUUGAACACUGUCUGAAGUUUGCAGUCUGAGUUUUUAGUUAAACAAUAAUUAAAACUUUCAACAACGGAUCUCUUGGUUCCGGCAUCGAUGAAGAACGCAGCGAAAUGCGAUAAUUAAUGUGAAUUGCAGAAUUCAGUGAAUCAUCGAGUCUUUGAACGCACAUUGCGCCCCCUGGUAUUCCGGGGGGCAUGCCUGUCCGAGCGUCAUUGCUGCCCUCAAGCACGGCUUGUGUGUUGGGCUUCCGUCCCUGGUAACGGGGACGGGCCCAAAAGGCAGUGGCGGCACCAUGUCUGGUCCUCGAGCGUAUGGGGCUUUGUCACCCGCUCCCGUAGGUCCAGCUGGCAGCUAGCCUCGCAACCAAUCUUUUUAACCAGGUUGACCUCGGAUCAGGUAGGGAUACCCGCUGAACUUAAGCAUAUCAAUAAGCGGAGGA
rnacentral:misc_RNA from 1 species